ACUUGGUGUCGUGACUUGCUCCUGAUAACAAAAGAUGUGGAACUUGAUUUGCAAUAAUUUUUAUUUGUGUUUCUCUUCUGUUACAGAUGCAAGGAAGAUACUUGGGCCUGACUUUCAUCUGCCCUAAGACUUUCUCAUCAGCACGCUCUCCCUAAUUAACUUCUAUUGCAAAACUUCUGCCAAACUGAACUGACCUCAAGUAAACAGCGGUGAGGUGGUGUGGUCUGUGAAUCUCUGAGUGAUGGUACAGUCAGGUUUAUCAUGAGGGGAAAGGACACAGAAAUGUUUGCCCAGACUGCUGGGCUCACCAGGAGCAUGGAGCACUUCAGCCUAUAUAAAAAUUAUGUUCUCAAAAAAAAAAAUCAAUACAUUUUCUAUGACAUUAGCAAACCCUGAGCUGUAUGGCAAGCUGUAUUUAAAAGCUGAAUGGAUUUUUUUUUUAACCUAAACCACGACCUUGUCAGGGAAGCAGUGGGUUGCCAAAGGAACAACGAGACAACAACCUAGUAUUCCUGACAAAAAUGCAGAAUAUCCUGACAGCUCAAAGGAAGACCCAGGUUCAAGGUGGCCCAUGCACCAGAGUAAAAUCCAGUGUGUUGUGUUGGGUAUAUCCCAAGCCAGAGUUUCUCAGGCAGUGGCUGGUGAAUCAUUUCUCAGUGAUACACUAUACCAGGAGGUGUCAGUGUCUCCUGCCUCUGCUCUGUGUGCCUGCGAGGGGUUUAUGGUAGGAGCUGCUCAGAGUUUGCAGUUGGGACUCUGGGAUCUCUUCAAUGGAAAGUUGCCCCUGCUUUAAACAGAGGAGUGGGACCAGCUUUCAACAACAGCAUGGGCCAGUGAGAAAAGCAUCUGAGUUUAUAGAGGUCAGGAGGGGAAUUACAACUUCUGUUUAGCUCUUCAAAUAGGGAUAUCCACAUCCAUACAAGUCCUGGGUUCACCUUAAUAACAAUGUCCCCUAAAUAGGAGCAAAACACUUUACUCAGGCACCCCAAGUAAUGCGGUACCCUGCUGAAGUCAGAGUGCUGAAGGGUUUGUAAAACAACAAUACAUCACCUCCCAGGAUGGGUAUUUUACACAAGGGCCUUCCACUCUCUGUCAGUCUUGGCCAGUUCAACCUCCCUGAGGCAAAUGAGGACCCAAGUGAAGAAACUGGAACACAAACAUCUUCAGAGCCAAAAUGUUGUGUGACCCUGGGAGCUACUGGUUGUGUCCACAGCACCUCAGGCUCAGUUUGGAGGGCAGGCUGUGCCCAGUCUGGUACGCUAACUGUGUGGACACAUCCAUCAGGAAGGAUGUAAGUCGUGCCUGGGAAAUAAAAUGCAAGCAAAGUGAGUCUGCAAACUGGAAAUGCUCAGUGACAUCCGAUAUGGUGUGUGUUGGCACUUGCAGACAGGAGGGCUUAGGAUAACCCUGCUUGCGGGAAUGUCAUGGGACGAAGCUUCCAGUCACAAAGACAGCUCUCCCAGGAUCUCAGAAAGCUGUAGUUUACCUUGGAGUUGUGCAGAAGCUAGUCAUUCAUCUAUUAGACGUUUGGAGGAAAUCUUUGGGAGAAUAACAGUGCUUCUUUUGAGGGCCCAGACUAGAGAAAAGACUUUCACAGCACUCAGAAACCUGGUCCCUACAGGCAGGGAGAGUCGCAGUGGUCAUCAAAUCCCUCUGAAGUGCAGUGAGAGGCUUGGACAAGCCCACACAGGGCUAAUGCAACAUGGACACUCAUUGCAGAUCCCAAAAGAGCUGCACCAGCAAAGGACAUGACCAUGCUGGGAGAGUGCUGCUUUUUCCACUUCCAGAGGAGACCUCUUUGGCAAUUGCAAAGCUCACUCCACUUUUGCAGGCUGGAGCAGAUGACUGGUAUCUCCAUGUACCACCACGUCCACCUCAAGGGAUGACAGCUCCUAUGGUGCUGGUCCAUGACCAAUCCCAAACACUUGUGCUGACAGCGUGUGUCUCCUUUCACAGCCAUACCCUGCUCUUCCUCACUUUAAAGUAGAUCACUCCAUGGACCUUAUGCCAGCACCUGAGAUCCUCUAGAGUCUAUACAUAAGCCUAGUGUCUCGAUGUAGUGCACCCUGGCUUCAGAGACCAGUUCACCCUUGCUAGGGGCUGGCUCAGCCUGUGUGCUGGCAGCAAUGCCAUGUGCUUAAAUGUGGCUCCAGCAAGGUUCAUUUUGCUGGGACUGGAUGGGAAAACAAAGGGCUUUUGUCCCAGGGGAGAUGUCUGGGUAUGAGAAACCACCAGUUUCCCCAAGCCGUGCUGACUUGGUGCACCUCAGCAUCCAAACUGGCAAAGACCUCAACACAAUGUCAGCCUCCCUGCUACCUUUUGCAAAGGCCUUGGUUUUGCUCGGGCCCUGGGAUUCAGGGGCACCAACCACAUGGGCCAGACCUUCACCUUCUCUUUCACAGCAUCUUCUCUGCUCGGAUGGGCAGUGCUCAACAGCAGGGGAGCACCGAGUAACAACACCUGCUGCUGUGGGGGUUGCUGUCAGUGUUGUGUGGUUUUUGUCCAUGCUGAUGGAAAAGCCAAACUCUGUGCUUGCAGUGAAAUCUGUGAGGUUUUAUGGGAAAUCAGGCAAGGCAACCUUGGCCCUGUCAUCUAUACCAGAGUUUGGGAUUUCUUGUAAAUUUCUGGAGUUUUUCCUAAGAUCAUAUUCCCCCCAGUCCCCCAUCUUUCUUCCUCCAAUGGAAUCAGAAGCUCACUGCCCAAGGACUGUCCCCACCAUUCGCUUCCUACAACAUAUGCCUCAGUUCCUCGUGGCAAAAUUAAAUUCUGCUUUUGCAUCUGGGAAAUGUUGAGCUUUGCCCAGACUUGUGCUUGUCCAGUGCCCACACAGGCUGCAGUGCUCGGAAAAACCCAAGGCUGAAGCCCUCGGCUCAGACUCGUUCGCUCAGCUGUGGUCUCCAUCACUCCUCAUCACGCCGAGUGUGGACAUUAAUAUAGUUAAUGUGGCAGAGUCACAGCCCUGGCCUGAAGGACCUGCCAUCAACAAGAUGCCCUUUAUGAAAUGAUUUCUGUCAGGGUGAUUUAUUGAGAAGCAUUUUGCCUGGUUUUAUCUCAGUCAGUGGGACUGUUUGGUGGGAGGUUUGCUCCAGUGGGGCCGGUGUCUCAUCCAUGAGCCAGAGGCUCUCAGAAGUGGCUUUGGCCUUUCUCAAAUUAGUCUGCUUGUGACUCACAAACUUGUGUCUUGCUUUUAGAUGAGAGAGAUAGAGGAAGGACGGGUAAAUAGGCAGACUGGUGCAAGUUUCAUCCCAGCAAAUUGCUUGAGCUACAUCAGAGAUGUUGCCAGUGGGCUUUAGACAUGCAAUUCCUGCCUGCUCCUCCAUUAACCCUUCCCUUAGAGAAGAAAACGAGAGCACCUUGUUUCCUCACCAGGACCAAAGCACAGUGCUAGGAAGGUGAAAUGACCCCUCAUGCUUGUGUGCUGUGGGGACCUGAGAAGCAGGAUGACCAUCCAAAGUGGUCAUCCAUCACAGCAUUCCAUGUAUCUGGGGGACUGCUGGGUUUGCACAGAAACCCUUCACCAAAAUCUGUAGCAUUUCCCACCAGCCUCCCCAUAUGCCUGAGAUCUGGAGGAGGAAACUCCACAUGAAGUAACCAGCCACAGGAAGGGCUAAGGAAGGAGCCAGCACAGGAACUGGAUAAAACUGCCCCAUGUCCCCUUCAUGCUGGAUACCUGCUUCACACGUGGGGGGUGAUGAGCUCCCAGGAAAGGAUUUCUGAAUAUGCACAAAGCUAAAAGAGAAUUGCUGUAUUUCUACUGGCUACAGGAGCGCCAAAAGUACAGAGAGACUCCUGGUCCAGCCUCUGAGCAGCUUUUCCAACACAUGAAGUGUUUCCAUGUCUCUCCUCUCCUCCACUCCAAGAAGAUUUAGUUGUAUCCUUAAAAAAAGUAGUAGUAACCUUUGACAUGUCUACUUCUGGCCCAUUUUCUAAAGACACAAGGUUUAUUUAAUGGUGCUGUGUGUGAUUGGCUCCCUCACAACUUGAACCCACUGGCCAAAUUUAAUGAAGGUGGACAGAGUUAGAGGGCUCAAAGACUUCAGGUUCUGCAAAGUUUUGUGAAUAUAUGUGAGUGAGCAGACAAGGAAUAUGCUCUGUGUUCCCUGACCAAAGGGCAGAAUUUGGGGAUAAAAGCUCAACAAUAUGACCCAAAGGCCUCCAGUACCAAAGACAAAUGAAAAACAAGCACUUACUUUUUUUUUUAAACGUCAUGCUUUUUAAGCCAUAAAAUCUCAUGAGUUUGGAGGGACCAGACUCCUGACUUUUAAACCCUUGGCUAUGGAAGCAGACAUGUUGGAGUCUCAUUGCAGCCAAGAGAAGUCAGGAGACCAUCUCAACCGCCUGAAGGUACUUCUUCACCUCCUCCUUCAUGCUGGUUCCCUGCCAGGACAUUCCUAGAAGCAAGAAAACAAUGCUCCCAGCCUGGAACCAUGCUGUUGUCUCUGAAUAAGUGGUACAUGUUGGGGGAGGGGCGGGGGGACACAUAGCCUGGGACAAGGCACAUCAAAGAGCAGGAUGUACUGGAUAACUUUGGGCAAGUCUCUUUACACUCUUGUGCCUCCACCUCUCUUCUCACCCCGCAGAAACCUUCGGUGGGGUGGACUUUUCCCUCAUGUGUCUGUACAGCACCUACUACUACAGGGUUCUCACCAGGCUGGGCCUGCAGGGAGGGACUGCAUUGGGUCCUAAAACAUAACAGUUACGGGCACAGCAAUCUCAUUGAAGAGCCACGGGAUCAGCUUCACCACAGACAGGAAAGGGGACAGCCUUGCUUGUAGGAAUCUUUGCCCAGGGGCUUUGUUCCUGGGAUGGGUUCCCCUUGGCUAGGGUUUGUCUCACAGACAUUCAUCCCAAGCAACGCUGAAGAGAUAGAAAGCUGAGGUGAGGAAAAAGAGAGAAAUGUAAGAGCAGGCGGAAAGGAAGACAGACACUGGGAGAGAGAAAGCAGGAGACAGUUGUCAUGUCUGUCAGAACAGGUUGUUGCUGACUCAGGGCAAAAUAUUCCUGUUGGAAGACCAAAAGCCUUCCCUAGCCCAUCUGCUGUGUGCACAGACCAUGCUCUCACAGCCAGCAACCAGGAGAAGGCUGGCACUGCUCCCUGCUGAGGAGCACAGCUGAAAACUGCCCCAUUUGCUUCCUUUGGAUGCAUAAGUCACUCCCCAUAAAGGCCUGAUAAUCCAAGGAGAGCUUCUCCAGGGUGUGCAUUUGCCUUCAUUCCUGACUGUACUUGGCUGUAAGACGGGCAUUUCACCUACGGUUCCCACGCGAAGAAACCCCCAGGGCUGUAACCCAGCUUCUCCCUCCCCACAGACAGCUAUUUACAAGGUUUCAAUGGGUAGGUCAGAAACAGCUCCAUGUCCAGAAUUGCCACUGCCAAAGGAAGGAGAGGGGGGGUCUUUGCAAAGGGCUUUAAUAAUCUUCCUGUUGCUCUGGCUGGCAGCUUUCGGCAUUCGUCCCACAUUCUUUAGUAGCCCUUUCCUUAGCAAUGAAUAGGCUUUCAGCACGCUCUCAUAAUGGUUUCUUUUCCUGUGGCACUCAGAAAAAGCUUUCAGCCUGCUCCAGCUGCCGCCUCUGCUGCCUCCCCUUAUCCACCAGAAAGAUGUGGUGGCUCUGCUCAGCAUAUCCUCUGCUGCCAACAGAGCCACUCUUUCACCUCUGCAACAAGGUGGCGUGUGAGCAAGGGGUGGAGGGUGGCUUUGCCUCGCUUCAUUUUUCUUAAGGCUCCUUUGCAAGCUGAGUUAGGGCUUCUUCAACCCCUCGAGAAGGACAUGUGUCCCGUGGCUCAGCAGCCCCGAUGCAGGAUCAGGGGGCUUCAGCCUGGGGCUGACACCCUGUUCUGUGGCUGCACUGUGCCAGAGGCUGAACUUGCACCCCCUGAUGCAAGAGGUCUGGGCUCUGACCUCAGGCAGGUGUAAAGCGCACGGUCCUCCUGCCUUGUUUUGCUCAUCUUAAUUCCCAGCAGGGCUGUUAUUCCCCAGACCUGCAGUGACAGGACUGUUAACACGACCGCAGAGGUGUGCAAUCCACUCUGCACAGGUAUGUUGUUGUUUGUUUUGCUUCGCCUGGUUUUGAUAAUGAUGCUGCUUCAUUAGGGAGCUGAAAUUGCUUUAGCUCAGGCUAGCAAAAGGGCCUUUGGAGCUCCCAGCAGUCAUCUCAUACACCUACAGCAGCCUAGACAGCUUUGAAAAUUUUACGGUGGGUAAUGCAAGCUCAGAUUCUCAAAGGUUUUGAGAUCAAUGAGAAAUACAAGCCCCAGACAAACAUCAGGUAUCAACGUACUUUUCCAGGUCUAGCUAGGAAAUGUGUCUGAAACUGUGGACUUCAGCAGCAAAAAGCUCAGUUUCCAUGAUGCAAACACGAUGGGAGGAAAUGAAGAGAGUAGCAAUGCAACUCGAGUAAGUAUUUACCAUUUUCUUUAGAUAUAUGUUACUCCCUCUGUAUUUCCACAUAUUUUUAUGUCUCUUUUCAGGACUAAAGAGAUAAUCUGCAUUGCCCCCUUUCUCCCAUAUUAGGAAAACUACUUUGUGAUUCACACAGAGAACUGGGACCACAGUAAACACAAGAGCCAUCAAAGGAGCCUUAGAGUAAACAAGAAUAUUUUUGAUCAGGUGUGAGAACUUACCCAGCCUGGAAAGACAUUGGAUUAACAUGUGACACUGUGGUAGGAUUGCAUUUGGGACUGGAUUCUUUUAGUUGCUAGUCAGGAACCUACAUGAAACAGGACCUGAGGGAAUAUUCUUUGGAUCCGUUGGCACUGAGGGCCUGGGGACUUUCCUUCUGUGGUUUUGGAUGUCUUGAAAUCUGGCUCAUUCUGACAAGUCCAGGUGACUGUGUGUGGGUCCUGCAUCCAGCUUGCAAUGGGUUGAGCAGGUCAGAGGCACUGGGAAGAGCUGAGGAACACAGCUUGUGUUCCUCCCAGAGGCAGGCAGAGAACACUUCUGCGAUGGGGCUGGAGUCUGUCCAAAUUGCUUGGCAUCCCAGGCCCAACAAGUCUUCUUGCCAAGCUAAAGUCUGCAUACCAAGGAAGUGCUCUAGGCCUUCCCAUCUCAGCUAGCGUGAUGUGGCUCUUCUAAGGACUUCGUUUUGCUUGGUAGAAAACAAGCUCCCUCCCACGUGCUCUUCCUGAAUUCUCCUCAGAAAAAGGCCACUCUGUAAUACAGCCCCUUAGGACACUGCAGGCUGCCCAGAAUGUCUCCAUUUGGAUGUUUGAGAGCAUCUUUAUUCAAGCUUCUCUUGAAAAACAUGAAUAUACAUUGCAAUGUCUUUCUGCCCUCUUCCCUUUCAUCUUGCUCCCUCCGCCCCCACCACGGCUUUGAGGGAUCAGUCUUCAAACUACUUCAAACCAAACCAGUCGCGGCACAUGGGCUGAUUGAUGACUUCUCUCUAAGCCUACAGGAGUUAGGGUCUCCCAAGGACAGAAGGUAAAUGGCAUCCAGACCCAAGGAAGCUCCUGAAAGCUGCAGAUGACCUUGUCAGUCUUAAGAAGAGGGAAAUAGAAUCAGGAAGACAGAGGAGAGGGAGGCGGCACAGUGAGUGUUCUCUGCACUCUUGCUGCUAUGUGGUUUUGUAGGAAACGUGGCCUGAGGGAUACUCUGACCUGUGCCAAGUGAGCAUGUAACAGAUGUGAGACUCAAGGAGCUGCAAACAGCUCUUUGAAAGCCUUCCUCUCCUCCUCUAGCAAAGAAAUUAAAAUCUGAUUUCUCUCAGACUUUGUAUGGGCCUUCUGCAGGUGUGGAAAAUCAUCAUCUCUGUUUCUUUGGGGCAUUAGGAUUAGACAUUACAUUUACAGAAAGUAACAGCUAGAUUACAGAUGUCCUAUUUUAAGUGUCCAUCCCAUGGAUAUGCAGCAAGACUGUGCUAGAAUUUAACAGUGGGAAUGGAGGAGUAGUAGGAAAAAGGACAUGUAAGCUUUUGCUCUGAGAGGUCCGACUAUAAACUUCUCUCAACAAAGCAGGAACAUUUCUGAGGACAGUGGCUCAAAUUAAAUCCUGCACUCUGCUUGCUUGGUGAUGAAGCAUAAAGGGGAAGGAUGUGAGUCCCUUACAGCCAUCAAGAUUUUUUCAUUCCUUCCACCAAGGAUGGAAUUUCAAAUGUCUACCAUCAAAAAUUAAUAUCAAGCAGAACUUGAUUGGACAUCAGCAUGACUGGAAUUUGACUGGAAAUCUUCCUUCCUGGGCCAGUGGUGAAAACUAUAUUGGCUGCUUCCUCACAUAAAGCAAAAGGAUUUUUUAAAAUUUUGUUUAAAAGGAACUGGAUUUUUUUUUCUGUGGUUGCUUGUUGUUGUUGUUAUUGUUUGGUUUUGAUUCCUCUCCUGAUUUCUGGAGGAAGCAUUCUAAGCCCUGUGAAGGUGAAAGCCAUUUAAGACAAAAAAAGAAUCUUCAGGUUGCAAUAGUAAAAGUCAAAAUCUCUGAUUUAGAAGCACCAGUGGGGUGGACAUUGGAAGCAUGCAGACUCAGUCACUGGAAAGCUCCCAAGAUCUACAAGUGCUGAAAUGAAAACAUGACACAAUGGAUCAGUCAACGAUUACUACUGAAUAAGCCACCGGGCUUUGGGGUUAAUCACUGCAGCCAUCCAUGAACUCUCACAGCGUGUGGAAAAACAGCUUUGCCUAGAAUGUCUUUGGGAUGAUGUCCAUUUGUAUGGUGGGAAGUUCAUGUGUUCCCUUGUCUCCUUCUUGACAAAAAUGUUCUGAUUUUGAGAUAUGUCAAGGAAAGAAGGAAAACUGUUUGGAUCAGUGUUUGAAUCAGGAAAUCAAAAGGGGGGAAAUAAAGGAAGGGGAAACUGGGACUCUGAAUUCUCAUGGUGUCAUUGACCAGGAAGCUUGACACAAGCAUCGCUUUGUCAAAGUGUUCUUCUUGAAGUGUUGUCUAUCACCAAACAGCCUUACCAUGGGUUAAAAAACAUUCACUGGGACCUACGAUUUUGGAGGUGUGUGUUCCUUCAGGUUACCUGACUGUUCUCAUGGCACUGCUGUCAGCAAAGUCAGUCCCACAAGGACAUGGUGUGUCUCCAAGAGAGGAGUCUGCUGUCAUUUCAUACAGUGGAAAAGGUUCUGUGUUAACUCUUGUGCUGAUCUCACACAUGUGUUGCUGCAAAUGAGUUUUCCAAUUUAAUACGUUCUUCUUGUUCACUCUUUCCUGAUUUUCUCCCUGUGCUUUCAUUUUGCAUAUGGGAAUGGCAUUUGUGCUCAUUGUUUAGAUUUAUGAUCUUUUCUCAGCUGAAACAGAGAAUAAAGACUUUAUAUUUAUGUACUUGUUUUAUAAUUUUCUGUCAUCCUUUCAUUUCCCCUUUUCUCUUCCCCUUUUCAUGGGUAAAUGGAAAGAAAAAAGGGUAAGAUCAAGAAAGAACAGCAGGGGAAAAUGCAAGGAAAAAAAGAAGCAUGACGUUUUCACAAGGAACAUUCUCAAAAUAUUAAUUAAAAAUCCAUUUUAGUAAUGCCUCUGAUGGGGAAAGAAACAAUUAUGUUGUGUGGUUACUUUAUUAUUCACAAACCUAUUUGCAGAAAAAGACUCAAACCUGAUUUAAAAAGAUCUACAAAACCUUUUUGUUCCUUUUGAGGUUUGUGGAACUGAAUGUCUUUAGAACCAUUUGC